rnacentral:rRNA from 1 species
GACGAACCGUGCGAACGUUGUUCGGAUUCACUGGGCUUAAAGGGCGCGUAGGCGGGCGGUCAAGUCGGGGGUGAAAUCUUUCCGCUUAACGGGAAGCGUGCCUCCGAUACUGAUCGCCUCGAGGGAGGUAGGGGUCGCGGGAACUUCCGGUGGAGCGGUGAAAUGCAUUGAGAUCGGAAAGAACACCAACGGCGAAAGCGAGCGCCUGGACCCUUUCUGACGCUGAGACGCGAAAGCCAGGGGAGCGAACGGG